GUUUCUGUAGUGUAGUGGUUAUCAUGUUUGCCUCACCCACAAAAGGCCCCUGGUUUGAAACCAGGCAGAAACA